rnacentral:rRNA from 1 species
CCCUUAGAUGUCCUGGGCCGCACGCGCGCUACACUGAGUGUCUGAGAUACGAGUCUGCCUGGUCCGGCAAGGUCUAGGUAAUCGCUAAAAGACACAUCAUGCUUGGGAUAGAUUAGUGCAAAUAUUAAUCUUGAACGAGGAAUUCCUAGUAAGCGCAAGUCAACAGCUUGCGUUGAUUACGUCCCUGCCCUUUGUACACACCGCCCGUCGCUACUACUGAUUGGAUGUUUAAGCGAGGUUCUCGAACUGCUAGCGACUUAGCUUCGGUGAGGUCGCAGUGUGGGAAGUGAACCUAGCUUUGGUGUCUAGAGGAAGUAAAAGUCGUAACA